ACGGAGGGUGCAAGCGUUAAUCGGAAUUACUGGGCGUAAAGCGCACGCAGGCGGUUUGUUAAGUCAGAUGUGAAAUCCCCGGGCUCAACCUGGGAACUGCAUCUGAUACUGGCAAGCUUGAGUCUCGUAGAGGGGGGUAGAAUUCCAGGUGUGGGGGCGAAAUGGGGAGAGACCGGGGGGAAGGCGGGAGGCGAAGGCGACCAACUAGGAGAAGACUGCCGGUUAGGUUCGAAAGCUUGGGUAGCAAACAG
rnacentral:rRNA from 1 species